rnacentral:rRNA from 1 species
AGUGAACGCUGGCGGUAGGCCUAACACAUGCAAGUCGAACGGCAGCACAGUAAGAGCUUGCUCUUACGGGUGGCGAGUGGCGGACGGGUGAGGAAUACAUCGGAAUCUACUUUUUCGUGGGGGAUAACGUAGGGAAACUUACGCUAAUACCGCAUACGACCUACGGGUGAAAGCAGGGGAUCUUCGGACCUUGCGCGAUUGAAUGAGCCGAUGUCGGAUUAGCUAGUUGGCGGGGUAAAGGCCCACCAAGGCGACGAUCCGUAGCUGGUCUGAGAGGAUGAUCAGCCACACUGGAACUGAGACACGGUCCAGACUCCUACGGGAGGCAGCAGUGGGGAAUAUUGGACAAUGGGCGCAAGCCUGACCCAGCCAUACCGCGUGGGUGAAGAAGGCCUUCGGGUUGUAAAGCCCUUUUGUUGGGAAAGAAAAGCAGCAGGUUAAGACCCCGCUGUUCGGACGGUACCCAAAGAAUAAGCACCGGCUAACUUCGU